CACCCUUCACUAGUCGUCAGAAGACGUAAAACGAAGAAACGAAAAAAGUGAAUAGGAGUGGAACAGGAGCAAAUGCAAAAACAAUUGGUUGUGGACAUGAACGGGGGAAGGCUCGCCAAGUUAAGAGUUAAGAGCAUCGUUGUCACAUAGGGCUCUUUUC
ensembl:ncRNA T06F4.19 ncRNA